GACGUAGGGCGCGAGCGUUGUCCGGAUUUAUUGGGCGUAAAGAGCUCGUAGGCGGCUUGUCGCGUCGGUUGUGAAAGCCCGGGGCUUAACCCCGGGUCUGCAGUCGAUACGGGCAGGCUAGAGUUCGGUAGGGGAGAUCGGAAUUCCUGGUGUAGCGGUGAAAUGCGCAGAUAUCAGGAGGAACACCGGUGGCGAAGGCGGAUCUCUGGGCCGAUACUGACGCUGAGGAGCGAAAGCGUGGGGAGCGAACAGG
rnacentral:rRNA from 1 species